AGGGAAUAUUGCGCGAUGGGGGAAACCCUGACGCAGCAACGCCACGUGAGUGAGGAAGGCCUUCGGGUUGUAAAGCUCUGUCAUUAGGGAAAAAUGGCGAUUGGGUUAAUAGUCCAGUCGAUUGAUGGUACCUAAGGAGGAAGCACCGGCUAACUUCGUGCCAGCAGCCGCGGUAAUACGAAGGGUGCAAGCGUUGUUCGGAAUUAUUGGGCGUAAAGAGUGAUAAGGCGGAUCUCCAAGUCGGUUGUGAAAUCUCGGGGCUUAACCCCGAAAGUGCGGCCGAAACUAGAGAUCUAGAGUGAUGUAGGGGAGAGGGGAAUUUCACGUGUAGGGGUAAAAUCCGUAGAGAUGUGAAGGAACACCGGAGGCGAAGGCGCCUCUCUGGGCAGUUACUGACGCUGAUUCACGAAAGCGUGGGGAGCAAAC
rnacentral:rRNA from 1 species